ACCCCAGUCCGCACGCUGAAAGUCGCCUUUCUUUUCCUUUUUUCCCCGCUGUGCCUGAAUCUCCCGGGACACUUAGACGGCUGGAGCCUCCCGACUCCAAGGCGGGCGACGGCAAAGUUAAACGCCAGCGCGCUGCGGUCCCCGGGCACCGAGGCGUCCCCGCUCCCGCCACCCACACAGGGCGCCAAGUGCCCCGACCCGCGAGUGACGAGGACGCACAGCCUGGAAGCCUCGCGGCCCUCCAGAUGGACUCGGAGCGCCCCUGGAGGCUACAGUGACCUAAGCUCUAGGAAGGCCGGGUCCUGGACGCCGCGUGCUGCUGUCCGCCGCCGACCGGUGUCCUCGCAGAGAUAACCUGGCUGAACUCACCGCCCAGCGCUAUGUCAGUUCUCCCUCAUGACAACCCAAAACUUGACCGGAUUUGUGUUCUGCAGAGAGGAAAAAAAAAAGCGGCCACCGAACACCAGUGCAGUAGCCAGGAUGGGCCUGUGGCUCUGGCUGCAGCCUCCAGGGACACCAGCUGGAGAGAAGGAAGCCACGCAUGGAGAGCGGCCAGGCUCAAAAUAUCUUAAAGAAAAUGGAACUCGGAGUCAGUCAUCUGUUCUCAACGUGGUCAUCUCAAAAAUAUGAGCACACGGAAGUUUUCUUCCUUCUUGUCAGUUUUGAGUCCAAUAUCAAUACUGUUGUCCUGUGAAAGAUUUUAAGAUUUAAAUGUUUUUUCAUGUAAUUUCCUGAUGUCUUGAUUGUUGCUUCUAUUUUGUUCAUCAAAACCAAACAGAGUGGAGGUUGCUCUGGGGCUGGAUGGAUGGCCAGUCAUUAAAAUCAAUGCCUUAUUAGUCUGCCUUAGUUCUGUGGUCUUUUCUGGCUUUACAGAUCAGCUUGUGUUCAUAUACACUAUUUCCUGUUCUAGUUAUUUUUAAAAUAACUAUACAUCCAAGGAGUUCAGCACUCCUCAUACACAUUGUCGUGGCAUUCCUAUGUGAUAGGGU
rnacentral:lncRNA from 1 species